rnacentral:rRNA from 1 species
UACGUAGGGUGCAAGCGUUGUCCGGAAUUAUUGGGCGUAAAGAGCUCGUAGGCGGUCUGUCACGUCGGCUGUGAAAACCUGGGGCUCAACCCCGGGCCUGCAGCCGAUACGGGCAGACUAGAGUUCGGCAGGGGAGACUGGAAUUCCUGGUGUAGCGGUGAAAUGCGCAGAUAUCAGGAGGAACACCGGUGGCGAAGGCGGGUCUCUGGGCCGAUACUGACGCUGAGGAGCGAAAGCGUGGGGAGCAAACAGG